AUAAACCUAGAUGGCUCUGCCAAUUCUAAUACAACCACAAUGCAAAGUUUGAUUUCUUCCACAAUUUGGUGCUGUGACUCGGAUAGAGAUGCCCGGAGUGAUCGGUUGGGAUACAGACAGUCUGCUCACUGAUGCCCCGGAGCCAAACUAAGAGGUUGAGUGAAUAAUGUGGUGCCUAUCUUCAAGAAAGGAAAGAAGGAAGAUCCAGGGAACUACAGGCCAAUCAGUUUGACCUCAAUCCCUGGCAAGAUCUUGGAAAAAAUUUAUCAAAUAAUCCAUUAACAACACGCUGACAGUAGACGCCAUUCUGAAAGACAGACAACACGGCUUCAUUUUGAGUCUUUCAAACAACCAAAAGAAAUCCAAGACUAAAACUCAUUUGACAUUUCCGUCCUACCUACUUUCAGUGCUUCACCCAGGUUUAGCACUUAGAUGGUUUAUACUGUCUUGUUUUGGAAUGCAAGACUCCAGCAUCCUUGUUCUUCACAAUAUUUGGAAACAUGGAAGUGAAUUUGGACAGAAUG